CCCCCUUCUACAAUCUCCGUUUGUUUCCCGAGAAACUGAAAGAAAAAGAGAAGGGGAAAAUUUUAUCGAAAGCACCAUGGCGGUUCGUGCCACCGUUUCCCGAUUCCCAAUGGACCAAGAUGCGCAGGAAUCUUCCGGCCUCCCCUGGGGAGUCACUGUGACUCCAUUCGCUACCAAGGACGAGAACGGCCAGCCCCCAGCUUACGGAUCGGACGGUCAUUUACUGCCUCGAUGUGAGAAUUGUUACGCCUACUUCAACACCUACUGCGAGCUUGACCAGUGGGCCUGGAGCUGCGCUCUCUGUGGAACCCUCAAUGGGC
rnacentral:misc_RNA from 1 species